rnacentral:rRNA from 1 species
CCUACGGGAGGCAGCAGUAGGGAAUCUUCCACAAUGGGCGCAAGCCUGAUGCAGCAACGCCGCGUGGGUGAAGAAGGUCUUCGGAUCGUAAAACCCUGUUGUUAGAGAAGAAAGUGCGUGAGAGUAACUGUUCACGUUUCGACGGUAUCUAACCAGAAAGCCACGGCUAACUACGUGCCAGCAGCCGCGGUAAUACGUAGGUGGCAAGCGUUAUCCGGAUUUAUUGGGCGUAAAGGGAAUGCAGGCGGUCUUUUAAGUCUGAUGUGAAAGCCUUCGGCUUAACCGGAGUAGUGCAUUGGAAACUGGGAGACUUGAGUGCAGAAGAGGAGAGUGGAACUCCAUGUGUAGCGGUGAAAUGCGUAGAUAUAAGGAAGAACACCAGUGGCGAAAGCGGCUCUCUGGUCUGUAACUGACGCUGAGGUUCGAAAGCGUGGGUAGCAAACAGGAUUAGAUACCCGAGUAGUC